GACGGACCGUCCAAACGUUAUUCGGUAUCACUGGGCUUAAAGGGUGCGUAGGCGGUCCCGUAAGUCGGGUGUGAAAUCCCUCGGCUCAACCGAGGAAGUGCGCCCGAAACUGCGGGGCUAGAGGGAGGUAGAGGCGAGUGGAACUUGCGGUGGAGCGGUGAAAUGCGUUGAUAUCGCAAGGAACACCGGUGGCGAAGGCGGCUCGCUGGGCCUUCCCUGACGCUGAGGUAAGAAAGCUAGGGGAGCGAAUGGG
rnacentral:rRNA from 1 species